GAUGAACGCUGGCGGCGUGCCUAAUACAUGCAAGUCGAGCGAACGGACGAGAAGCUUGCUUCUCUGAUGUUAGCGGCGGACGGGUGAGUAACACGUGGAUAACCUACCUAUAAGACUGGGAUAACUUCGGGAAACCGUAGCUAAUACCGGAUAAUAUUUUGAACCGCAUGGUUCAAAAGUGAAAGACGGUCUUGCUGUCACUUAUAGAUGGAUCCGCGCUGCAUUAGCUAGUUGGUAAGGUAACGGCUUACCAAGGCAACGAUGCAUAGCCGACCUGAGAGGGCGAUCGGCCACACUGGAACUGAGACACGGUCCAGACUCCUACGGGAGGCAGCAGUAGGGAAUCUUCCGCAAUGGGCGAAAGCCUGACGGAGCAACGCCGCGUGAGUGAUGAAGGUCUUCGGAUCGUAAAACUCUGUUAUUAGGGAAGAACAUAUGUGUAAGUAACUGUGCACAUCUUGACGGUACCUAAUCAGAAAGCCACGGCUAACUACAUG
rnacentral:rRNA from 1 species